GACGAACGCUGGCGGCGUGCUUAACACAUGCCAGUCGAACGGAAAGGCCCUGCUUUUGUGGGGUGCUCGAGUGGCGAACGGGUGAGUAACACGUGAGUAACCUGCCCUUGACUUUGGGAUAACUUCAGGAAACUGGUGCUAAUACCGGAUAGGAGCUCCUGCUGCAUGGUGGGGGUUGGAAAGUUUAGGCGGUUGGGGAUGGACUCGGGGCUUAUCAGCUUGUGGGGGGGGUAGUGGCUUACCAAGGGUUUGAUGGGUAGCCGGCCUGGGGGGGUGGCCGGCCACAUGGGGACUGAGGGAGGGCCCAGAGUCCUACGGGAGGCAGCAGUGGGGAAUAUUGCACAAUGGGCGGAAGCCUGAUGCAGCAACGCCGGGUGCGGGAUGACGGCCUUCGGGUUGUAAACCGCUUUCGCCUGUGACGAAGCGUGAGUGACGGUAAUGGGUAAAGAAGCACCGGCUAACUACGUG
rnacentral:rRNA from 1 species